UACGUAGGGGGCUAGCGUUGUCCGGAAUCAUUGGGCGUAAAGAGCGUGUAGGCGGCCCGGUAAGUCCGCUGUGAAAGUCGGGGGCUCAACCCUCGAAAGCCGGUGGAUACUGUCGGGCUAGAGUGCGGAAGAGGCGAGUGGAAUUCCUGGUGUAGCGGUGAAAUGCGCAGAUAUCAGGAGGAACACCGAUUGCGAAGGCAGCUCGCUGGGACGUAACUGACGCUGAGACGCGAAAAGCGUGGGGGAGCAAACAGG
rnacentral:rRNA from 1 species